rnacentral:lncRNA from 1 species
CCCCUAGUUAGAUAAAUAAAUUUAGAUUAUAGAUUAUGACUUUAGCAAUAAAAAGAAAUUUUGUGCUCCAAGAUACUAAUAAAAUUUUGAGGCCUAAAUAAAUAUUUUUCUAUAUAUUGGGCUUUAUUUAAUUAUUUUUGCUUUUUGGGCUACCAUUUAAUAAUAGCCCGUAAUUUGAAUUGUAAAACAAGUAGAUUGUGAGUAUUAACUUGAAUUGAUUCUUAAUUCCCAGUUGGAUUACGUGGUCUUUCCUUUAUUCAGCCACAUUUGACAUUUUAUUCUUAGCCACGUAUCAUUUGUAUCAUUUCAAAUCGCAGUUUUAACCACCACGUAUCAUUCCAAAACCUAUCUCAUUUAAAUUCAUCCAUCAGCUAUAAUCAAUUUCAUUUUUCAGCAAUUUUUAACUCGUCUUCGUUCUGCAGAGGUAAUUUUAUUGAUUUUGAAAAUUCUAGCAAACAUCCAGCAUGAGAUAAUUUAUGUUUAUUUUCAGUAAUAAUUCACCUUUCUGCAUUAAAAAUCAAAAGAAAAAGAAAGAAUAAAAUGGAAUUAGAAACACAGAAGUAGAGUGGAGAUGGGGAAUUGUUGGUGAGCGGAUACUGGACAGACGUGAAGCGAGAGAGGCGGCUGAACGGCGCCGCCGGGCGCUGCCUGCGCCACGGCGGCCGGCGAAGAGGAAACAGGGAGGCGGCGACGGUGGUUGGGCGGCAUCAGAUCUAGAAAAGGGGAGGCGGCGGCUGGGCUGUGCUGCUGUCAACGCGGAGGCGGCGAUGGUGGCAGCUGCCGUCGACCAGAAGAGGGAGAAAUGAGAGGAGUGGUAGGUACUGACAAGGCGGCGGGAGUCACCGGAGAAGGGAGAUGGCCGCGGCAAGGCGCGGCGAGGAGAAGGGCAGAGGGGGCGAGAAAUGAGGAAGAGGGAGAGAGGUUGAGGAGAGGACAGGGGGAGCCAGAGCCGCCGGCCUCCGGCGGCGGCAGGAGGCCGAGAAGAGGAGAGGGAGAGAAGGAGAGAGAGAGUGAGGCUGCGUGAGUUUGUGUGGUGGUGUGUGUGGGUGAAUUUAAGUUAGGUGAUUGAGAGAAUGGGCUUGGGCCUAGGAUGGUUUGUUUUUAAAAUGGGCUCAGAUUUAUUAAAAAUGUUUGGGCUAAGCUUUUAAUUUAUUUAUGGGCUGCAGAUUUCUUUCUAAAUAGGUUGCAAUUGCAUUUGAUUUUAAAUAUCAAUCCAUAUUUUUCAUAAGAAAAUAUAUUUUACUAAUUAAUUCAUUAGAUCAAUGAUUUUAUGAUAUAAAUUCUUAAGAUUUAAACUACUAUUAUUAUUAUUUUUAAAGUUCAAUUAGGCCCUUAUGUUUAUUAUUUGAAUUUAUCUGACUAGGUGCAACGCGACUAGGACAUGGAUUUUAAUUUGAAUUAUCAGAAUUAGCUUUCAAGUUGAACUUCAAAUUCAGGUGUGGGAUUUAUUUCAGUACAUGCUGUGGUUAAUCUUUGUCCAUUUUAAUAUUAUGUGUUUACCGUAUGUGAGUUGCAUUAAAUUAUAUCGCUAGGGGCCCGUUGAAUGGGUCCAGGAUGGAAAGAUCCUUGGUAUGCCACAAUGCGAUAUUAUGUUAAAGUUAUGGUUGCAACCAGUCGCCAGGGGCCGGCUAAAUCGGUCCAGGACGGAAAGGUCCUUGGUAUGCCACCGUGCGACUUUCAGUUACGAAUGUAUUGAUCAUAUGUGAUUCUCAUUUUAUUAACGUGGACAAUGAUUGCAUGUCCCACACUGAGUGUACCCUGUAUGCUCAUCCCAUACUUAACAUUUUUAGGUUUUAAAGGCCGGAGGCGCGUGGAAGGUCGAAUGGCGAAUCAAAUAUUUUGAAUUUAGUUUUACUUAAAAAUGUUAUGUUUAGUAAAGUAUAAGAUAUUUAUUUCUCUAUUUUCACAUUAAAUAUUUAUUUAUAGUCAUGAUUUUUCCGCGUGCGUUUUCAUGUAAAUUUAAAUUGGAUUUGGGUGUCACAUCUAUA